GAUGAACGCUAGCGGCAGGCCUAAUACAUGCAAGUCGAACGGUAAGGCCCUUUCGGGGGUACACGAGUGGCGGACGGGUGCGUAACGCGUAUGCAACAUGCCUUCCAGCGGGGGAUAUACCAGGGAAACUUGGCGCAAUACCCCAUAGAAUUACGGGACCGCAUGGUCUUGUGAUUAAAACUCCGGUGCUGGGGGAUUGGCAUGCGUGACAUUAGCUAGUUGGCGGGGUAACGGCCCACCAAGGCGACGAUGUCUAGCUGGUCUGAGAGGAUGAUCAGCCACACUGGGACUGAGACACGGCCCAGACUCCUACGGGAGGCAGCAGUAGGGAAUAUUGGACAAUGGGGGGAACCCUGAUCCAGCCAUGCCGCGUGUGUGAAGAAGGCC
rnacentral:rRNA from 1 species